GAUGAACGCUGGCGGCGUGCCUAAUACAUGCAAGUCGAGCGAACAGACGAGGAGCUUGCUCCUCUGACGUUAGCGGCGGACGGGUGAGUAACACGUGGAUAACCUACCUAUAAGACUGGGAUAACUUCGGGAAACCGGAGCUAAUACCGGAUAAUAUAUUGAACCGCAUGGUUCAAUAGUGAAAGACGGUUUUGCUGUCACUUAUAGAUGGAUCCGCGCCGCAUUAGCUAGUUGGUAAGGUAACGGCUUACCAAGGCAACGAUGCGUAGCCGACCUGAGAGGGUGAUCGGCCACACUGGAAGUGAGCCACGGUCCAGACUCCUACGGGAGGCAGCAGUAGGGAAUCUUCCGCAAUGGGCGAAAGCCUGACGGAGCAACGCCGCGUGAGUGAUGAAGGUCUUCGGAUCGUAAAACUCUGUUAUUAGGGAAGAACAAAUGUGUAAGUAACUAUGCACGUCUUGACGGUACCUAAUCAGAAAGCCACGGCUAACUACGUG
rnacentral:rRNA from 1 species